UCCCGUAUGUUACAUAUUUAUAUAUAACUUAAUGUAAGAAUUUUAAAUCACGUUCGUCCAUCAAGGACGUGUCCAAAUACAUCCUAACCCUAAGAUAUAUCAUAUCUUUAUAGAUCGACUUAAUAGAUUGACCGUAUCUUUAUAGAUCGCCUUGAAUAUAUCACGUGGGCCACAUCCAACAUUCUCCCAUUUGGCCUAAUGACAUAUUCAUUACCGCAUAGGCAAUACAAAAAAAAAAAAAAAACUUUAUUAGGUACCAACUAAAUUAUACAGUCAAAAUCUCCCACUCGACCAAGAAAUCACAAUACUUUGAUCAUAGCGAUUAUGCCCCAAAAGAUGAACACUUCCUU
rnacentral:lncRNA from 1 species